UCCGUGCAAAGGUAGCAUAAUCAUUAGUCUCUUAAUUGGGGACUGGUAUGAAUGGUUUAACGAGAAAUUAGCUUUUUUUGGGGCAAAUAUUGAAUUUAUCUUCUCAGUGAAAAGACUGAGAUAAUCUAAAAAGACGAGAAGACCCUAUAGAGUUUAAUGCUUGCUGUUUAAAAAAAUUUAUUGGAAGUAAUAAGUUUUUUAGAAGAGGCGUUUGGUUGGGGCGACAUGAAGAUAAAAAAAACUCUUUAUUUUAGAAACCAUAAUGAAGGAUUUAUUGAGUUGAUCCUCUAAAAGGGAUUAAAAGAAAAAAUUACCUUAGGGAUAACAGCGUAAUCUUUUUUGAGAGUUCUAAUCGACGAAAAGGUUUGCGACCUCGAUGUUGAAUUAA
rnacentral:rRNA from 1 species